CUCAGAAGUUGGCUUGUUUGGUGAUCCUCAAUGAUAGAUCAGUGGUUUUUAUUUUUGGCUUUGAGAUGCGGUUUGUGUAAGAAGUUACAGUGGACCUGAUUGCUGCUGAAAACUAGGAAAGCUUCAGAUGAAUCAUUUUAUUAUUGCUGCUAACUAAAAGUUUGCCUGCAAAAAGCAUCAACCUAUGGAAAGAUGAUUACUUUGAUACAAUCAAGUGCAUGCAGACAUAUACUCUCAGAAGAAAGGUUUGACAUGCAGACUGUUUGGUCAUCAGCAUGAUGAUGUACUGAGAUUGAUCCGACCUGGUCCGCUAAGUCUUGUCAAGUUGUAAACCCAAAUUUGUUUGUAUGAAUCUCAAUAUGAGAUUUCUGACUUAGCUUCCUAAGAUAGGCUGUGAGCUCAAGGAUAUCAAGUUGAGCUCCUUGGGGUGAUCGCUCAGGA